GUGAUUGGGCAAUCAAGAACAAAUGCUCAAAGUUUUCAACAUGCUGAUUACAAAACACACAGUUAGCAGGCACUUGUAUUCCAAACUUCUGUAAUCUGUCAAUAGUAGGCAAUCUUUGUUAAGCAGCUAGCCAUACGGUGAACUUGUGUCUAGGUAGAACAUUAGUAGUCAGCAUCAGAUUCUUCCACUCUACCUUAUUAUAACUGGGAAGCAUUGCAAGGUAGAGUUUUUGGAUUUGGAAUUUGUCCAGUCUGCACAUUGCUUUCAACAUGUUAAAGAGAUCCCCUUGUAGCUGCUGGUUCUCCGUAACAGCAUUCCUGCAAUCCAGAACCUUUCUAACAACCCAAGUCCUGCAUAUUGUUUUCAACCUGUUAAAGAGAUCCCCUUGCAGCUGCUGAUUCUCCAUAACAACAGUCCUACAGUCCAGAAUCUUUCUAACAACCUAAGAAGUUGUCUUAGGCAGAGGCAUAGAUACAAUGUCACACUGUUUGAUGUAGUAACAUUGCAGCCAUUUGAUCCAAAGGCAAUCUUUUUUCCUGGCCAAGUCCCAAAGGAGUUUUGUAACAGCUGCCUUAUUCCACACAGUCAUAUCAAUAAUGUUGUUUCCCCCAGCAGAAAGUGGUUUGCAGACCUUUUCCCAUGCAACCAAAGCCCUUUUAGACACAGUAGCAUUACCAGUCUACAGGAAAGAUCUGCAGAUUGCUUCAAUGGUUUUCAAUACUUUCUUUGGCAGUAUGAACACUUGUGCCCAG
rnacentral:lncRNA from 1 species